rnacentral:lncRNA from 1 species
CAUUUGGUGGAACUGCCGACUCUCGCCCUCUGACUCCCGAAGCCUCUUCCUCAGAACUUCGAACUCCACCUCGGCAUCCUUGACCACCUGCUGCUCGUAGGCCAGCUGAAUCUUCAGUCGCUGCAGUUCGGCCUUCUCCUACCCAAGGGUCAUGGACAGUUCUUCCAUGGUCCCUCUCAAGGAGCGGAGCUCAUCGGAGCCUUGUGCAGAGACGGCCUGGACUCUCUCAGACAACUGCCUCUGAAGGCGGGCAACCUCGUCGGUCAUCGUCUUGAGCUUCCUUCGGUAGUCGUCUACUUGCCCGCACCAGCCGACUCGAUAGGCAUUGUAGUUCGCCUCGGUGUCCUGCAGCUGCUUCUGAAUGUUGGAGAAUUUUUUCGACCAGUCUCGAUCGCGAUCGGCCUGAGUUGUGAGCUAGGAUGAGCUCCCUUCUAACUGACCGAUCUUCUCCCGUACAGCCGCC